GCCCCUCAUCCAGUCUGAGGAAAUAAGCCAAGCUAACCCUGGACAAGGGAGGGGGCCGGUGGAAAGGAUCCCCGCAUGUGGGGCUCUAGGCCUGUCCUGGGGACCACAGGUCUGCUGGGGGCCAUGGCUGAGAACCAGAGUCCUGAUGUUAAAGUGAGGAGAAGUUUCCAGAGAAUGUCCUGCCUGGAGCAGAACACAGACAAACUGGACCUGUGGAGGAGCUAAGAUGACCAGGAGGCCCAGAAGGAAGACUCCAAGAGGUCCUUUGACAUAGGGCAGGCCUGCUGGGAAAGAGUGGAGCUCUUCAGAGACAAGGCUCGGCUUAAUCGUGAUAUAAGUGAGAACAAGGCAUCAAUGGACUAGGGACCAUAAACUCACCCAGGGACAUUUUGAAGCACAGAGAAGAGUCCAGUCAAGGCCAGCUUCCAUAUAUCCAAGUGUUUAAAAGUUAAGUCAUCAAACAAGCAAAGUCUUCAAUCUCUUCUCCUGACUUGACAGACAUCUUCAUGACUUCCUGAAGGUCAAGUGUGAAUUGAGAAUUUGGAGUCACAAGAGCUCCAGAUGAAACUGGGUGGUGGUGGCACACGCCUUUAAUCCCAGUACUUGGGAGGCAGAGGCAGGUGGAUCUCUGUGAGUUCGAGACCAGCCUGGUCUACAAGAGCUAGUUCCUGGAUAGCCUCCAAAGCCACAGAGAAACACUGCCUUGAAAACAACAACAACAACAACAACAACAACAACAACAACAAAAACCAAAAAACUCCAGAUGGAAUGUGGGAUUCAGCCCCUAACCCUACCUAGUACUAGAAGAGAUCUUUAAAUUUUUAAAAUUACAUUUGUAUUUGUUUGGGGUAUGGGUGUGGGUGUUUGUGGCGGGGGGGUAUAUGCACCAUGGUACACAUGUAGAGGUCAAAGGACAACUUAAGGGCUUCUUCUUUCCAUCAGUCCUGGGCAUAGAACUCAGGUCUUCAGUCUUGGCGGCAGGUUCCUUUAUCUGAUGAGCCAUCUCAUCAGCCCUAAAGGGGUUUUAAUCACAAACAUGUAAACACUUACUAUGAGUCCUAGCCCUACUACUACCUACCACACCACCCCUUUGUCACCCCAAAGACCUGUGGCUAUAUACACCAGUGACAUAAUUCACCUGCUUUGGCAGACCAGACUUCAAUUAAUUAGAGCCCCUCACUGACUGAUUUAAGCUCAGAAACUCAGUCAGGGAAUUUCAGAACUGUAAAGCAAGAUCAAGCAGUGUGUUCUUGUCGAAUCUGUUUCUUUAUCCCAAGAGUACUCUGACUGUGGCUGGAGCAAAAUCCUAACAUAUGGACUACACAGUAUGGGCCAGUCUUGUGACCACCAAACCAAGGCCAGAGCCUGUCAGACAUGAGGUCAGCCAGUGGGAGUUCAGAAGAGGAUCUCUGGAAUUUCCUAGAAGGGUCCUCAUGGUGUCUUUGUGCCUCCUGUGGCUAAGAUUGGGUGUCUGCCCGUGACCUCAUGCCUCCACACAGGUCCCAUGGGUGUCAAGCAGGUGUCACCAUCUCAGGCUCCCAACACAGUGGAGCUUAUUAUCUUAUUAUCUUCCUCUCUCACUCCUUAACUCUAAUUUCCACUGUCCUGUGCUACUUGGCUGACCUCCUUGGCAGAGAUGUGACAAAAGGAUGUGUCUCUAGAGGUUCAGAUCCCUCAGCCAUCAGAACCCAAAGUUUCCUUGAGGCCACAUGAGCUAAAGGGCGAGAGUCCUACCCUCCAAUCACUCUGACCAAUCACGGUUUCCUUUCACCUCGUCUGGGUUGGUGGAUGUCAUUCAAAGUAGGCUGGUUCAUCUGUGCAGGCAGGGAGCAAGCCCCUUUUCUUGCCUGCACAGAUUCUCCUCACAGCCUGAGAUAGCCUUCAUUGCAGUUCCCAGCAUCCUCACAAGCCCUUACAAGCUAGCCUCCACCCUGGGCUCUGCCUCUCCCUCCCGUGUCUACUUUUUUAACCCCACACGACUGUUCUUAUUUCUACCCAAAUCCUUUCAUCCUUGAAGUUGUGUUUGGAGCCUUCCUCCAUUAAAGGUUCC
ensembl:lncRNA